GACUUUUCAGCUCCUGACCGGGCCUAUCAGCAGCCUCCUAAUUCGAUCACUGCUCACUCCAGGAAACAGUCACCAGGAAGGAGGUCCGGCGCAGGCGGGAAGCAGCGGCCGCGCAGUGCCCUGGUGCUGUGAACUUCCCCUGGCUCGCCAGAGCCCUGCAAAAAUAAAUCUCCGGAGAAAUAGAUUUUGAAGAGGAAUUCGGCACAUAGAUCUUCUGUCAGCGGAGCAGACUCUGCCUCAGCCGUUUUUCAGGCUCGCUGAGUAUCCAGAAAUACAUCUAUUUUUACAUGGCUCUCUAGCGAGAGUUCCUCUUGCCUGGAGGGGUAAGAGGCCGUGGAAGGAGUCAGAGGAUGGGAGAGGAGAGGGGUGCGGGCACUGACUGGAGAAGGACAGGGAGGUGACCGUGCAGUGCUGGUCUUCCCGGUUUUCCUGCAUCCUGCAGGACCUUGGGUUUGCCAACCAAGUUUGGGUUUGCCUCGUCGCUAUGAAGGCUCUGUGUGUCCCUUGGCCCACCGGACCCAUCUUAGUAACAGGCCUGAUGUCCCCGGAGAAGACAAUACACUACGGCAGUUUGGCGCGCGCGCGCACAAAGAGCUGCAGCACCGCCCGGGGCUCACUGUUUUGUUCUCGGCCUAGCUGUCGCGGUGAACAGCAGGAGCCAUGGACCAGAUGGCUGGAGGGAGGUGCGAGCGGAUCGCACUGGCAGGCAAUUAGGCCUCAAACAAUGGCCCGUGAAAUGUCAGAAGUGGCAAGGAAGGGUCGUGGUGGAACAGCGGGAUGACAACCCUAGCCCCACAUCAUAUUCUUAUUAGCGGAGGUUAUUACAAUAGUAAUCAGCGUGCUCCAGGCGCAAAUUGGGUUUUUUGCUCCACUGCCACCAAUUUAGAAAACCAUUAAUGGCAAGAUAAGGCCCCCGUGGCUCACACCGGGCCAAGCCUGGGAACCUGCAGCCAACUCUCUGCUCAUGAACCUACACGCCCAUGCUCCAGGGGGCGCUCGAGCAAGCAUCCUGGCUCUUCUGGGACGACAGAGAAGAAAAAGCCAACCGCUUUCUAGGAGGUGCUGUACCUGCGGGACCAUAGAACUUUCUCAAAUGUGAAUCCUAUACAACAGUCACUUGGAUGAGACAACCUCAUGGAACAAAACAUUAAAGCCAAGUUUGCCACUAGAGCCAGAGCGCCAUAUACUGUGCCCUUGAGUCCUGCUUCAAGCCAGUCUGCUAGAAACGCUUAGCACUCGCAUGAAGAUCAGAGGACUUCUCUCCUUCCACCAUGAGGGGCCAAGAGAUUGAACUCACGUUGUCAGGGUUUGGAGGCAAGAACCGUCAUGUUUGGCAGCAAAGACCUCUACCUACUGAGCCGUCACCAUAGCCCUGCUGAGAUAGUUUCAUAACGAUAAAUGCACUCUACUUUUUGAUGAUGUUCUCAGUUCCAAAAUUGUCUCCCUGUGUGCGUGUGUGUGCGCAUGUGUGUGCGCAUGUGUGUGCGUAUGUGUGUGUGUGUGUGUGUAUGUGUACUUACUCAUAUGUCUUUUUAUGUACAAAAGAUAGGUUCCUUCAUGUAUAGUUGGAGAAGGGCUGGGUGAUCUGACUGGGAGGAAAAGAAAGAAAACCAGGAGUCACGUCUCUUCUGCCCCCUUGUGGGAUCCUGGAUCAAACUCAGGUUGUCAGGACUGCAUGGCAGGGUCUACUUGCUGAGCUGCCUCACCAGUCCCCUUUCCUUUUUCAACAUGUAGAGGCCAAGUAUGUCCCUGGUUCUACACAGCAGACAAAGAGUUAAGAAGCAACAGCUAUACUGCAGUUAAGUCCUGCCUUUUGUUUGUUUGGUUGGUUGGUUUGGUUUUGGUUUGAGACAGCCUUUCUCUCUGUAGCCCUGGCUAUCCUGAAACUCACUCUGUAGACCAGGCUGGCUUUGAACUCACAGAGAUCCAGCUGCCACUGCCUCCUGAGUGCUGGGAUUAAAGAUGUGCACCAUCAUCACCCAGCUUAGUCAUUUCUACCGGUCACUAUUAUUUAGUUAGUGUUACUUAGUUCCUUGAAUAUGUUGUCCACAAAAAUUCUCUCAAAUAAUUAACUACUUCAUCCUGUGGAAUAAAAGAUUUGA
rnacentral:lncRNA from 1 species